rnacentral:lncRNA from 1 species
UGAAAAUCAUAUCAGGAAAACUGUACCUGAGAUUAUUGGUCACACCAGGCUGAGACAAAGAUAUAACUCACUCAUGUGGGGUCUCCAAAAAAGGUGGGCACCCAGACAAUGGCUCUUACUGCCCAGUGUAUGCCUUAAGGGACCAGCAGGUAGAACACUUGCCCAGCACAGUGGCUUCAGCUGUGCCUUGUCCCUGCUACUAACAUAUUAUUCCUUUGUCCAGGUCAAGUUUUGCUCUUUUACCUCUGCUGCUGGACUCAGCUCUGCAGCUCUGCUUGCACCUGUAACGCAGGAGGAGCCUGAAUCCCCACCAACUUCUCCGGAGAGAAGAUCUUGGCAGAACCUAGAAGACAAAGGAGACAUUUCAGUUCCUAAGUGCCUGUGUACACAAGGAAACUUGAAGAAAUGAACAUGUGUAUGAACCCCGUGACUUUAUGCAAACACUUUCCUCCUCUCUGAGAUCUCGUUGUCUUGUCGGGAAGAGAGUCCGGAGGACUGCUGCUUGCUGACGACCCACCACAAGCUCAGCACUUUAUAGAUAUCCUUUCUUCCACUCUUUAUAUGAUUUUACAACUAAGGCAUGCAGAUACUGUUACCCUACCUUUUUUCAGGUUAAGAAAAUCCAGUCACAAAGAUAAACAAAACAAAACAGAACAACAACAAAAGAGAGUCUGUGCCUGUUGUAGUUGAAGAACAUAAUUGUUAUACACACCCAAAGUCAUAACAAUGUUAUUCACAAUAGGAAAAAGGUGGGAACAGCUACGUGUCCAUUAAGAGGGGAGUGGUUAAACAGGCUAUGCCGUAUAUAAUUGGAUUAUUUUAGCUUUAAAAGGAGGGACAUUCCAA